rnacentral:rRNA from 1 species
GACGAACGCUGGCGGCGUGCUUAACACAUGCAAGUCGAACGGAAAGGCCCCGUCUUUGUGGGGUGCUCGAGUGGCGAACGGGUGAGUAACACGUGAGUAGCCUGCCCUUGACUUUGGGAUAACUUCAGGAAACUGGGGCGAAUACCGGAUAGGAGCUCCUGCUGCAGGGUGGGGGUUGGAAAGGUUCGGCGGUUGGGGCUGGACUCGCGGCUUGUCAGCUUGUUGGUGGGGUAGUGGCUUACAACGGCUUUGACGGGUAGCCGGCCUGAGAGGGUGACCGGCCACAUUGGGACUGAGAUGCGGCCCAGACUCCUACGGGAGGCAGCAGUGGGGAAUAUUGCACAAUGGGCGGAAGCCUGAUGCAGCAACGCCGCGUGCGGGAUGACGGCCUUCGGGUUGUAAACCGCUUUCGCCUGUGACGAAGCGUGAGUGACGGUAAUGGGUAAAGAAGCACCGGCUAACUACGUG